rnacentral:misc_RNA from 1 species
GCGAGGAUGGAGGGUGUGACACGCUCUCCCAUGUGCUUAUGUUCCUGACGAAUAAGUAGCCCAUGUGAAGUGUUUUAUCAACCUUUAUGAGCACUACUGAAACCAUUAGAUUGGAUAAAUGUGUCGUAUUAAUGGUGACAAAAUUUCCUGUCUUCUGUAAAUUUAAUCUUUAUCUUGAGAGUACUUUAUACCGUCGGCCAUUAUUGCAUACUCUCGAUCCCGCUCAGAAUACUCUCCAAUCCAAGCAAGUAAAUAAAAGCACGUGUGCUAAUUUUGAAUUGUCAGAGGUACAGUACUGUGAUUCGUUUGUUUUAUUUAUUCUUAGUGUGUCCAAGCUGUGGAAAUUUUUCUGUUAAAUGUUGGAAUUUUUGUAAUUUUUUUGUUCAGCUUAAUAUUAUAUGAAAAAAAAAAAAAAAAUUCUAAUUCGACUUAAGCAGUGUGAUUUUAAACAAUUAUGGCUUCCAGUUCAACUAUUCAAAGAGUAAUUCCUCUGUCCCACAGUACACCCAACAAUGAUUUUAAAUGUACUGCCAAUAUUAUGGAACCUGAUGAUGAUGUUGAACUUGAAAAUGAUGUACAAAAAUCAGCUAAAUUUCGUUUUAACCGUGGGCACGCGCUGUUGCGAAGGCAAUAUCAUAAACAUAUUCUCAUACAGCAUCCAAAAACAUUUGGUAAAAGAAGAUUCACUUUUUCUGGAUAUCAGGAUCAUAAAUCGAAUACCAAGAAACGUCGGAGGUUCACUAGUGUUGCCCUUCCGACUAAGUUUUUGCUUGGAGGUGAUAUAACAGAUCCUUUAAAUUUGCGGAGUUUAGAAGAUGAAAAAAUAAAUCAGCAAUUGAACGCAUUUACUCCUGCGUCAUCUCCAAUACCUAUAUCACGAUAUCGUACUCAAGUGAAACUUCUCAUCCCUCCAAAUAUAUAUGAUCCUCUGAAUUUAAAUACUGGAGAAGAAAUAGAGUUCAAUUUACUUUCUUCUAAACCCCGUAAAAGAAGACGCCAUCGUAAAGGUAGACGAGAUGAUAAUGAAAAUGUUUUGGAUACAAAGGAGGUACCUCCAGCAAAAGAAGAGUCUGAAAAUGAGUCACCUACUCAAACAAGAAGUUCUCUGUGUCUUCCUCUUGAAGAAAAUCAUGAGAAAGAACGUAAGGCAGAUUCUAGUGCUGCGAGUACUUCAUCUGAGGAGAAAGUUGUCUCUGAUAAAAUUGUUUCUCCAGUUGUUCCACAAGGAUCACCUGCCAAAUUUUAUAAAAGGUUUCGUUCUCGUAGUUUUUCUAAGGAUGCUGAGGAAAAGACAUCUGCAUUAAAACAAGUUAUGAAACGUAGGCGAUCAAGAACAAGGCUGCAGCAGAAAGUUGACACUUUAAAAUUUAGAGCAAAUGCUCAAAAAUUUUGCUAUGGCAACCAUAUAAUCAAUCAUUCUAACUGGUAUUUUGGAAAUAGUGAUGAAGAUCACAGGCUUAGAUUUUUUGAUAAAAAUUUAUUUGAAGGUAAAGAUGUCUUAGAUAUUGGGUGUAAUACAGGUCAAUUGACUUUAUACAUUGCUGAAAACUUGCAGCCAAGAAAAAUUAUUGGUAUUGAUAUAGAUAAAAAACUUAUAAACAUAGCUCAAAGGAAGGUUCGCAAACACUUAAGUCAAAAUAUUACUGAAGAUAAUGAUUUUCCAGAGUCUCUGGCAUCUAUGUAUGGCCCAUUAAUAAAAUUGGCCAUGAGCACUUCAAAUUCUUCAGACUUUCCAGAUAAUAUAUCAUUUCUUGAGGCUAAUUAUGUUCCUGCCUGUGAAGAGUACCUUGAAACUCAAAAACCAGAAUUUGAUACAAUCCUCUGCCUAAGAGCUACAAAAUGGAUUCAUCUUAAUUUUGGAGAUGAGGGAUUAAAGUUGGCUUUUAAAAGAAUGUUUGCCCAAUUGCGUGUUGGUGGUCAUCUGAUUUUAGAACCUCAGCCUUGGUUUACAUAUUCAGCAAGCAAGAGAAUAACUCUAUUUAUAAGAUGUAUUGCAGUUUAGAAAUAAAACCAGACUCAUUCUGUGAAUAUUUGCUAUCUGAUGAAGUUGGUUUCAGUAGAUGUGAACUCAUUGGGAGGACUUUUAAUUGCACUAAAGUUUAUCGGCAACCAAUAUACCUCUUCACAAAAGAAUUUGUAACUUCUCAAGAACAAAGCAUGCAGAUGAAUAUAGUGUCACCCAUUCCAUUUGACUGGGAUCGUAAUUCAGAUGAACAGGGCGCCUGUUCUAACUGGG